UACGUAGGGUGCGAGCGUUGUCCGGAAUUAUUGGGCGUAAAGGGCUCGUAGGCGGUUUGUCGCGUCGGGAGUGAAAACACCGGGCUUAACUCGGUGCUUGCUUUCGAUACGGGCAGACUAGAGGCAUGCAGGGGAGAACGGAAUUCCUGGUGUAGCGGUGAAAUGCGCAGAUAUCAGGAGGAACACCGGUGGCGAAGGCGGGUCUCUGGGCAGUAACUGACGCUGAGGAGCGAAAGCGUGGGGAGCGAACAGG
rnacentral:rRNA from 1 species